rnacentral:rRNA from 1 species
UGCAAGCGUUAAUCGGAAUUACUGGGCGUAAAGCGCACGCAGGCGGUUUGUUAAGUCAGAUGUGAAAUCCCCGGGCUCAACCUGGGAACUGCAUCUGAUACUGGCAAGCUUGAGUCUCGUAGAGGGGGGUAGAAUUCCAGGUGUAGCGGUGAAAUGCGUAGAGAUCUGGAGGAAUACCGGUGGCGAAGGCGGCCCCCUGGACGAAGACUGACGCUCAGUGCGAAAGCGUGGGAGCAAACAGG